rnacentral:misc_RNA from 1 species
GUAUUGUAUUGCGUUAAACGCAGCAUACAUUCCACAAGACUUUGUUACAGUGUGUAUGUGUAAAGAAGCAGAACCACAGCACAGGAAGGGCAAAGCCCCCCUCUGACCACGGAACUGCGGAGGGUGCACAGGUGUGAUUGGAUGUGUGAACAGAGCGUGCACAUGUCCCUGUUUGAGGACCAGCAACAACCCUUGUUUACAAUUCAGUAAUGAUCCUUCCGCAGGUUCACCUACGGAAA